rnacentral:lncRNA from 1 species
AAGUUAUUCUCCUGCCUCAGCCUCCUGAGUAGCUGGGAUUGCAGAACCUUCCAGGUCUGAGCUGAGGUGUCAUCUCUGAACACCAGGCUGCUGCACUAACCAGAAGACCCCUCCCCACCUGCAGUGGCCUCGCUGCAUCGUAAGGAUGGAGGAGCUGUUGUCUCCACAGCUGACAGGUGCUUAGUGGUUAGAAGUCUGGUUUUCGCGCGGCUUAGAUCUUUAACAUCUGAACUAGUCCUGUCAACAUAUUUUGUUAUAUUUCUGGUGGCUUUGUCUUUGAUGCUAUUAUAAAUGAUUAUCUUUUAAAAUAAUACUUUGAUGAUAUAUAGAAAUGAAAUUGAUUUAUUUGACUGUAUCCAGCAACCUUUUCAAAUUCUAAUAAAUUGUGUAGGGAAAAAAAAGUCUGGCUUCGGAGUCAGAACGGAAUUGAAUCCUGCCUCCACCACUUCCUACCUAUAUGACCUGGUGAAACUUAUCCCUCUCUGUGACUCAGUUUCCUCAUCUGUAAAAUGGGAAAAUUGAAAGCAACUAACAGGUUUGGGGCCGUUUUGCUUGCUGCUGCUGUGGCUUCAGUGCUGAGGCCUGGCACUCAGCGGGAUGUCAGCCCAGGACUGGAGCUUCUUUCUCAUGGUAUUAUUUUGAAUUUAGAUGAAAAGAGGUAUUCCAGGAGAGCUCCUGGCACAGGGCCUGGCAGGUGGCACAUCCUCAGUAAAUGUGAGCUGCUGUCAGCUGCUGUGUGAGUGCCUGGUGUGGCCCUGUUGUCCCCUUGAGGGUUGGGGGACAAAACAGGCCCUCAGGAAGCCUGCCUGUGUAUUCGGGGGCUGGGGAGAUCUCUGACCUCCUGUCUCCUAGCUCCACCAGCAUCUCUCACCUCCCCCAGCAAUGUACAACCCCUUCUUUUCCCAUAGCUUAGGCCCCUGAGGUACCAGCCCCCCAGCCUAGGGACAGCCCAGUGGCAAACUCCUGGUGACCUGGGUCAAGCUGCUGUUCUCCAAUCCCAACUCGGCUCUUCCCGUGACUUGGCCCCCAGGCCUUGGGUGAGGCUCCGAUGAAAUAACACACAGGAAUGUGCGCUGAACACUGCCAAGCACUGCAGGUGGGCAGGGGCUUUGUGCUCCCCAGCGACUGUUCCUAUCCUGCGGGAAUGGAGGAGACCGACAAAGAAGCCCCACUCCUGGGCUGACAUCCUGCCAGUGCCAGCCGGGCCUCAGCACCAGUGGGUCAGCCAGAACAGCAACGACGAACAAUGAGGCCCCAAACCCGUGGGCCCCCCACUUUCUAUCUUGAAUUUCUCUGUCUUUCCUAGGCCAGCAAUGUUUGAGAGGGAGAGCGAGCUGAAGAUUUCCUGAUUUCAGAUAGGCCUAGAGAAGGAUUGUAAUUUUCUAGUGUGAAAAGGAAGUGGCACAAAGAUGAGGGCAAUGAAGAAGAUGGUUCAAUGGAAGUACCAGGGUCCUGUAAAUAGGGAACGUGUUUUAUGAUCAAACCGUUCUUUGCAUUUUUGGUGAUUUUGAGGUUUAAUUUCCUCUAUGUAGUUAGUUAACUAUUUAACACUGAGAGCAGGGGUAGGGAUAAGGCAAACAACAAAAAAGCCAAAAUGAAACCAACUUCUGUGGGGUUUCCCCACCCCAGGGAGGUGGAGGCUGAGGUAGAACUGACUGAGAGAAUCACCCUCCCUGCACUGUGAUGAAGACACAUCCACACAUCAGGACUACACAGCUGGCAGGUGCUGGCUGUCCAGAGGAGCAAACAGCUUCUUCCUUGUGUUUCUGUGUCUCUUAGUAGAAAUCUGUGCCCUUGGGAGAAAACUGAAUUUGCACCCCUUGAGGCAAACACUUGACCAAAUGAAUUAGGCAGAUGGGUGGAUGGGUGGGUGAAUGGGCAGGAGGUGUGACAGGCAGGAGGCGUGACAGGGAAAGAACACUGUUCUGACAGGCACACACUGCCACAUCUGCCCUCCCAACAACCCCGAUACAGACACUGUUGUUAACCCUCCUUUUACAGAUGAGGAAACUGAAGUUAAUUUGCUCGUGGUAACACAGCUAGGCAAGUGGCUACGUUCAGCUGGAGAAAAGGAAAAUUCUGAAAGACUUUAGGAUACAUCUUAUUCAAAAGCAUUUGGUGAACAUAAAUAUGUACCCAAGGUAUAAUAUUAAGUGAACCAAGCUUGUUAUAAAGCAGUAUGAGUCCUGUCUGAUUCCAACUUUAUAAAAAAUAGAUGCAUAUGUCAAUAAAUGCACAGAAAAGGGUAUACCCUAAAAUGUUAAUAAUGGUGAUCUCUGGGUUAUGACACAAAAUAUUGAUUGGUCUUUGGGCUUUUCUUUAAUUUUAAAAUGUUAAUAGACAUGUAUUAUCUUAAUAAUGGGAGGAGCCACAGAAAAAGUGCUUUUCAAAAACAUGAAAUCAAUAAGCCCAUGCAGGACCUGCAGGGGGCUGCAGUCACCUGGGCCUCAUAGGCUUGGCAAAGGCUUUAGUUAUGCCCUGAUUGGAGGCCACUGGCAUGGAGAAGCUGUAGGUCAGCUAACUGGAACUAGGACAUCCAAUGUGAUUGGUUAUGUGUGCAUAUUUGUCUUUCUUCAUUGGGUCCUAAGUUGCAAGCAGGCGCAAAAAUUAAGGAAGCUGUGAGUCAAUGAAGUCCUGGCUGUUUUUCAGCUGGUUGCUAUAGGGUUGUUUUUUGACUUUCUAGACUGGUUGCUGUAGAGGUGGGUCAGAGUUUUACUUUCAUCUAUGGUCUGGCCAUUGUAUUUGUAUAUUCAGUCUCUUAGUCACCCCUUUUGGUCAUUCGCUUACUUUCAAGAGGUUGGCCAAUUCAAGGAAAGCUGGAAAUCUAGCUCUUUAUCACUCAGAGAUUAUUCAGUAAACUCCAUAUAAAACUGUAUUGCAAAAUAUUCCUGACCUUUUUGUUUUUGUAUCAUCAUGGUGAUUUUGACUAGAGAGCAGAUGUGCAGAAGCUUUUAAGAAUCUAGAUAGCACGCAGCAUCAUGUCCACUCUUACAAAGCCAGAAUAAUUAAUAGUUCCUAUAAGGUGAUUUGGAACCAGGAACCUCAAUUGCCAAAUCAAGGCCAAAAUAACAAAUUUGAUAGAUUAUGGGAUCAACCUUAGCCAAAUAGCUUAUACCAUGAAACAAUAUAUAAUAGUUCCAACUUGCUUGUUUCUUUGAUCCAAGGACAAGAAGUAUGAGCAACGGCACAGACACCAGGAUGACUAAAAGAAAAAAAAAAAAAAAACCUAGGGUAAUGUUAUUGUCUAUCACUGCCCAUGCCAAUGAGUUGAGAUUGUUCUGUAUUUGUAUCUAGGACAAAGGCAAUAUCAUCAAUAACUUCUGCCAGAGUGAGUAUCUUAGUCCAUUCAGGCUGCUGUACUAAAAUACCAUAAUUUGGGUGGCUUAUAAAGAAUAGAAAUGUAUUUCUUUCAGUUCUAGAAACUGAGAAAAUCAAGAUAAAGACGCCAGCAGACUCGAGGCCAGGUGUGAUAGCUCAUGCCUGUAAUCCCAGAACUUUGGGAGGCUGAGGUGGGUGGAUCACCUGAGGUCUGGAGUUCAAGACCAGCUUGACCAACAUGGAGAAACCCCGUCUCUACUAAAAAUACAAAAUUAGCCAGGUGUGGUGGUGGGCAACUGUAAUCCCAGCUACUCAGGAGGCGGAGACGGAAGAAUUCCUUGAACCGGGAGGCGGAGGUUGUAGUGAGCUGAGAUCGCGCCACUGCUCCCCAGCCUGGGCCGGAGCCAGACUGUGUCUCAAAAACAAACAACAAAAUAAAACAAGAAAAGAUUUAAUGGAAGACCUCAAUAAGCCAUUGUAGGCUGUAAAAUUCACCUAGUCCAAUCUUUCAGAGUCGUUUUGGACUUGAUAGUAGCUCAGUACCAAGAUCAUUACAGAAGUUAAUACCAAUAAUAGCCAUUGAAUAUAUUGUCUCUAUAAUGUGGAUCAAAUUCUCAUUUGACUGUACUGACAUUGGUGAUAGAAGGUGCAACCUGAUUUACGCUGGGGUAUAUCAGGUGAUUAAAGUUAAGGCAGGCUAGAGAAAAAGUGAAAGCACUCAAAUUGCUGAUUUGGAGUGAAUGAUAAAGCAAUUUAAUACACCGUCUCUAAAGCAUCCGUUUUCGCCUGUCCGAAGAGUUUUAAAGGAUAUUUGGCCAGAAAAUUUCUACCAUGUGUCAGAAUAUUAAUUUGCAUGUAUGCAUUCAUAGUUCAUGGGAUAUUAUUUUAGUGGUUUUAUUAUAACUGCAUAGAAUGGUUUGCUUCUUACUGAAGAUCUUUCUUUUUUUCUUUCGUUCUUUCUCUUUCUUACAGCCAUAGGUGCUUUAAGUCAUUAAACUUUGAGCACUGUAAAAAUAUCUAAAGAGUGCUUAUUUUUAUAACAUUAAUACUCCAUUUGCAACUUUAAUUAUAGUUACUUCAUUUUUAAAAUCUCAGAAGAUAAUGAAAUAUGUAGAAUUGCCAAAACAAUUGAGAAAGCUCACUGCAUUCGUUUGGUAGAGCUGUCGUAACAAAGUGCCAUGGACUGGAUGGCUUAAACAGAAACUUACUUUCUCACAGUUUUAGAUGCCAAAAGUCCAAGAUUAAAGGUAUUGGUAGGUUUGGUUUCUUCUGAGACCUAUUCAAUUGGUCCAUAGACUGCUAUCGUCUCCCCGUGUCUUUACAUCGUCAUUUCUCUGUAUGUGUCUGUGUGUAAAUGUUCUCCUCUUAGAAGCACGCCAGUCACAUUGGAUUAGGACGCACCCUACUGACCUUAUUUAACCUUAAUUGUGUACUUCUCUAAAGACCUUGUCUCCAAGUAUAGAUACUCCGUGAUAUUGAGGGUUAGGACUUCAACACAUGAAUUUGGCGGGGGUGGGUGGGCACAAUUUAGCUCAUAAAACUCACUAAGGUUUAAUUAGGGCAUGGACUGUAGAGCAUUCUACUGUUAAUUUAGUUUUUGUGUUUGGAAAGCAUUUUGAAACAUAAUGAUUUUUAUUUACAAUUUCAUUAUUUAUAUUUUCAUUAUGUUUAGGGUUGCUUGGAGGUAAAUGAAGAAAGAAGAGUUCCGCAUUAGUGAGGCAGGGAUGUCAGUAUAUAAGGAAUUGGAAAGACAUCAGUGAUAAUGGCAAAAGCUGCUUAUAAAUUAAAUUAAGAGCUUAAUUAAACUGAGGAAAAAAGCAUAUUGCCAAAUUACAUGCAGUUGUUUUGUAACAGCAUUUGUCCACUUGCUGUGCCCUGAGAUUUCCAAGGCACAUUCCUCUACUAAGCGUAUUAUAAGAUGAUUAAAUAUGCAUAGUACAAGUAUGUUAUGGAAGGCUGUGUUAACUGAUAUAGUGGGACCACAAUAGUAUGUGUAAGUGAGAUUUGGAAAAUUUGAUAUGCCAGCAAGGACAAAGAAGUGUUGAAUUUGCAAGUUUAUGCACAUAAUUCUGAGAAUCCAGGCAGCUAUUUCUCCUUUUGAAUUGUUCUCUUGGCUAGGGGAUAAGGGUGAGACACAAUACACAUUUGAAUGUGUCACUGUGUAAGUUACCACUGCAAUAUCUUCUGUAUGUUGAAAAACUGGUACUUAUAUGUACUAAUACUAUCUACCAUGAAAAAAACAAUUAAAAAUUUAAAAUAUCAUGUAAAUUAAAUAAAGUUCAAAUACCACUAGCCAGAAAAAAAUAUUUUAUAUUAUAGUCUGGGGUCAGAAGAGGAAAACCUUAUGUAAAGUAUCAAAAUUAAUUUUUAUUUCAAUUUAAAUGCACCAUCAUAUAACAUAGUUUCAUAACUGAAAUUACAUUUGUCAGAAUUUGAUCUUUUCAUUAUUAAAGAAUUGAGGGAAAAUUGAUGGUUAUAAUAUUGAUAUGCCAUGUAAAUAAACUUUUUUUGAUUGUUAUAGGAAUGAAUUGCUCAACUAAUUGGCCAAUGUCAACCACAUAUCUGUUUCCAUGGAAACUGCAGCAAUAUUACUUCAAAUAGUUUCAUUUGUGAAUGUGAUAAACAAUUUUCAGAUAAAAAAUGUAUACAUACAUA